AUGAAAUAAAUGUAUUCAAUUAAUAUAUUGUCUUCAUCUCCGCCCAUCCCAUUUCCUGAUUAAAAUCACCUCCUCUCCAGUCGUGAUGUAUCUUUUGAAUGCCUUUAAAGCUUAAUAGAGAGGGGUCGCUGUUAUGAUGGUCCCUAAAGUGAAGUGAAACCUGGUGUUUCUCAAUUUUUCUUUUGAUAUUGUAUACAUGCUCACCUAUCCUCGUCCUCAACAGUCUGGUUGUUCUAUGUAAUUUAAGCCGCAAGGACAGGUGAGCAUGUAGAUUACAUCUUUUGGUGUUGCACAUUAUGCAAUCCCUGAUUUUGUGUGUUUUCCAAUUGGCUGAAUUCAACAAGGUGCUGUUUACCUGAAUGUGUUAAGUGGCAAGCCCUACAUCGGCCACAUUCCAAAAAAAAAACAAAAUGAUAAUUGAUUAAAAAGUUGCCCCUUUUCUGUGUUUCCUUAUCCUCGCUAAUAAUUCCAUCUGUUAGAACUCUUUUUAGAGUUGGUAGACCACUAAAAUUUGGUGAUGAAUAUAAAAAAAAAUUUAUUCCAAC